AUCGCAACUUCGCAAGCCAAACGAGCAGCAGCGGCAGGAUUGCGACAGGCGCCGAGGCGCACCCAGCGCCCUGAUUAGCGAUCGCUUCCUUUAUCUGCUAUCCCUUCACGGCUUGACCUAAAAAAGGGCGAUCGUGAUUUCCCAAGCUCCCAGCCUUGGCCGCCGAUACGCCGUACUGAAGGGGCUUCAUCGUCACGCUUGGUCAAUUGCUCUCCGACUCUAGGCGCUGCAAACAGAACAUGGAUUGGCGCUAUCACGCAUUCAACCAUCAGAAUCAGAAUUGUGUGUUAGUAUGCCGCCGAGAAACAAGACGUACGCAUCGGGUAGCAAUAAAAGGAAGAGGAAGAAGGCCGCUAAUAAAUUGGUACAAUCACAAAGUGUUGCACAAAAUUUGCAGAAACAUUCUUUCUUGAUGGUUCAUCUGAUGUUGAGUCUCGGCAGAAAGAAGUUCUCAAAGCUGAAAUUGUUGAAGAAUUAUUUGAGGUCAACAGUGACUUAUGAGAGGUUAAAUGGUUUGGGUACAUUAUGCAUCGAGAAGAAAUUAUUGGAUGAGAUUGUCAUCGACCCCAUCGUAAGUGAUAUUGCAUCGAUGAAUGUUACAAGAGAAUUUUCAAGGUGAUAUGUACUCCCUCCGUUCCUAAAUAUUUGUCUUUCUAGACAUUUCAAAUGAACUACAACAUACGGAUGUAUGUAGACAUAUUUUAGAGUAUAGAUUCACGCAUUUUGCUUCGUAUGUAGUCACUUGUUGAAAUCUCUAGAAAGACAAAUAUUUGGGAACGGAGGGAGUAUAAAUUAUUUGAUACGCAUACUGAUUUUCAAUGCA